rnacentral:rRNA from 1 species
AGAACGAAACGCUGGCGGCAGGCCUAACACAUGCAAGUCGAACGGUUGUAGCAAUACAGCAGUGGCAGACGGGUGAGUAACACGUGGGAACCUUCCUAGGGGUACGGAACAACUACAGGGAAACUUGAGCUAAUACCGUAUACGUCCGUGAGGAGAAAGAUUUAUCGCCCCUAGACCGGGCCCGCGUAGGAUUAGGUAGUUGGUGAGGUAACGGCU